GCUUGCUUGGCCGAGCGGUCUAAGGCGUACAAUUCAGACUCGUAUCCGAGAGGGCGUGGGUUCAAUCCCCACAGCAAGCA
rfam:Trichomonas vaginalis G3, whole genome shotgun sequence.